GACGAACGCUGGCGGCGUGCUUAACACAUGCAAGUCGAACGGAAAGGCCCUGCUUUUGUGGGGUGCUCGAGUGGCGAACGGGUGAGUAACACGUGAGUAACCUGCCCUUGACUUUGGGAUAACUUCAGGAAACUGGGGCUAAUACCGGAUAGGAGCUCCUGCUGCAUGGUGGGGGUUGGAAAGUUUCGGCGGUUGGGGAUGGACUCGCGGCUUAUCAGCUUGUUGGUGGGGUAGUGGCUUACCAAGGCUUUGACGGGUAGCCGGCCUGAGAGGGUGACCGGCCACAUUGGGACUGUGAUACGGCCCAGACUCCUACGGGAGGCAGCAGUGGGGAAUAUUGCACAACGGGCGGAAGCCUGAUGCAGCAACGCCGCGUGCGGGAUGACGGCCUUCGGGUUGUAAACCGCUUUCGCCUGUGACGAAGCGUGAGUGACGGUAAUGGGUAAAGAAGCACCGGCUAACUACGUG
rnacentral:rRNA from 1 species